rnacentral:tRNA from 1 species
GAGGAUAUAAUCGAAUGGUAAAAUUUUUCUUUGCCAAGAAGAAGACGCGGGUUCGAUUCCCACUAUUUGCC